UACGUAGGGUGCAAGCGUUGUCCGGAAUUAUUGGGCGUAAAGGGCGCGUAGGCGGUGCGGUAAGUCACCUGUGAAACCUCUAGGCUUAACCUAGAGCCUGCAGGCGAAACUGCCGUGCUUGAGGGUGGGAGAGGUGCGUGGAAUUCCCGGUGUAGCGGUGAAAUGCGUAGAUAUCGUAAGGAAGACCAGUGGCGAAGGCGGGUCUCUGGACAGUUCCUGACGCUGAAGCACGAAGGCCAGGGGAGCAAACGGG
rnacentral:rRNA from 1 species